rnacentral:piRNA from 1 species
CAGGGGGCACCCGAACCGGGCUUUUCAGA